UCUUUUAUUCCUAUUUUAUUGCCAUGCAAUACUGACUUUUGACUAAUUCCAUUUGUAAAGGCUAUAUAAGCUUGCUUUCAAUUUCUAAUGAAGAACACAACUUUCCUCUCAAUGUUUCUAUUAUUUCUAGUUCUUACAAUUGGUAUCAGAGCUCCACAAGGGGUCUGAUAUUGUUUAGGGAGUGAGUGUGUAAGAGGGGAAACACUAAGGGAGUAAAAGUGUGUGUGUGUGUGUGAAGAAACACCAAAGGAUCAACAUGUCUAC
rnacentral:lncRNA from 1 species